rfam:Stereum hirsutum FP-91666 SS1 unplaced genomic scaffold STEHIscaffold_2, whole genome shotgun sequence.
CCUCCGAUAGCUCAACGGUAGAGCGGUGCACAAUUAUACAUCGUAAUUGUUGAGCGAGGAUCUUCGAAACAUGCAUAAAGAUGCUGGUUCGAUUCCAGCUCGGAGGA